rnacentral:lncRNA from 1 species
UGCGUGACUGUAUUUAUGCAUCCCGUCAUACUUUGAAUGACAAAAUUAUUUCAUGUCUACCUGUGCGAAUUUCAAACGCGCAAUUUUACACUAGUACUCAAAACCCUCCUUCCUUGAUGGGUGCAUUUUACAUAGACAAAUAUAAUCGUAUAAUAUAAUCAAAAUGAGGAUGUUAAUUUGAUGUGUGCUUCUACGUUACAUUUGUUGUUUUUAUAGUGAUUAAUAUGAUAACACAAUGUUGACUGCUGUACCCCUAUUUUUGACAUUUUUAACUAUUGUGUCUGUUUGUUUUGUUCAAGCAUCGGUGACAAUAUAAUGGAAUGUGAUACGACUGUCAUACAAGUGAGAGGUUUAGCUAGCUAUAAAACCAGGUUCAAUCCACCAUUUUCUACAUUUGAAAAUGCCUGUACCAAGUCAGGAAUAUGACAGUUCUUGUCCAUUCGUUUUUGUUGCGUUUUGUUAUUUGAUUUUGCCAUGUGAUUAUGGACUUUCCGAAUUGAUUUUCCUCCGAGUUCAGUAUUUUUGUGAUUUUACUUUUCACCAGUGACGCUCGAAUCAAAAUAUUCUAAACAGUCCAAAUAAUAAAGAUAGUUGAAGAGCAUUUAGGUCCAAAACAUUCCGAAAGGUU